rnacentral:RNase_P_RNA from 1 species
GAGCCGGACGGGCCGUCGCUGCGCGUAUCCACGCGGGGAGGAAAGUCCGGGCUUCACAGGGCGGAAUGCCGGAUAACAUCCGGGAAGAGUGAUCUUCGGCAAGCGCAACAGAGAGCAGACCGCCGUCUUCAUGACGGUAAGGGUGAAAGGGUGGUGCAAGAGACCACCGGCUGCCGUGGCGACACGGCAGGCCAGGCAAGCCCCAUUCGAAGCAAGACCAAAUAGGGAAACCGAUCGGCCCGAUCUGUGGUUUCCGGGUAGGUUGCUUGAGGGCGCGGGCAACCGCGUUCCUAGAGGAAUGACGGCCGCUCCGCUUCAAAGCGGGGAACAGAACCCGGCUUACAGUCCGACUC